rnacentral:lncRNA from 1 species
UUCAGAAAAUGUGUAUGGCACACUCUCACGUACACGAGUGACAUGGUGACACAUGCAGUAUGUUAAUGGGACAAGCAAAGGGGCUCUCUGAAGUGGGGUUUUGCUUUCUCUCAAACAUUUGAUUUCCCUGGUGCCUUAUUCCUACUCUAUGCUGGCAUUCACAUGCCCAUGGGAACAAACGCUGAUGCCAGCCUCAGGAGUGAGGACCUCUAGGUGACAACUGAACAUGUGGGGGCCAUCGGGUAUUGGAGUCAGUCGGAGGGGGAGGAACUAGAUGGCAUCUCUUAGCUGAAAAUACACAGGGACUACACAAGCCCAUCACCAUCACGAUUAGUAAUGCUCAUAUAUGAGUAUGUGUGAAUACACACACACACACACACACACACGCAUGCACGCACGCACACAUUCUCAAACACCAGAUACACUCUUCUUCCUCUGAACUUCGCUUCCUUCUUCCUAUCUUUGCCUUCUCGUAACGGUGCUGCUGCUGCUGCUGCUGGGGUGCCCAGAGUCCAGAACGCCCAGUAAUCACUCAGGCAUGAGCCUGGCACUGCCACGUCAGCCCUGGGCACCACCAAACCCUGGUUUCUCUUGCCUGGGGCUGAAAACUGUCAGAUUUUUCUCAUCAAAAAAAAAAUGUUAUCCAAGGAAUCAGUGGAUUACAGUUACUCUGCAUUAAAAAUGCACUUUAAAAAUAAAUAAAAGCUCCAGACUGUUUAAACACACAGAGGGAAGAGGGGAAAGAUUAACAUGUGCUAGCGUCUGGACCCAGUUCAGCGUAUCUCCAGUUGAAACAGUAUACACUAUAUUAUGUAUAAAUGUAUACACACUUCUAUAUGUGCCCACAUAUAUACAGUGUAUCUAUUAUACUGGUAUAGGUGUUUGUGUGCGCACACACAGGUGCACAUAGCAUAGCCAAUGUCCAUCACAAACCCAGAUGCUCAUUACACAAACAGCAGCAGAGGAAGCAAGGCCGGACUCUUGCAGCAGAUCACAAAAAUAAAAACAGCCACUUGCAGUGACUUCGGUCGUCUCUGUAUGUUCAUAAGGAACGGAUUGAUUGUAACAAAGGAAAAAAGGAACAGUGUUAGCAAUUGAGGAAAACUGGGACAAACCAUCUUGAUCCAAUGGGAAUGCAGUAACGUUCUCUACCAUUUCGUCAGUUCUUUCUGUUAGUCGUGAUGAUUUGAUUUUCAUUUUUGGCUAUUAAAAAUGUUUUAGACUCAAGUGACCACAUCCAAGUGAACAAAACAACCACAGUGAAAGCCCUUUUCAGUAGGAAGAUGUCAGAAAACUCAAAACCCUUGGCCUGGCUCAGAACUACCACGUGCAAACCAGAACUCUCUCAACGUUUGAAAUAAAAACUUUAAAACUCUUUUUGAAGCACCUUAAUGUGGCCAUCCAUUUGACGAGUGGGUGCCACUUUUUUCUUUGAGCACCUUAUUGACGUAUUUUGCUAUCUGCUGUCUUCUGUUACCGUUAGCUGAAUAGCUAGCUGUUAACACACACAUGUGCACAGACCAGACACCUGAGCACGUGUGUUCUCAAUGACGUUUACUGUGGUGACUGCUGGAAGGUGAACUCAUUUUCUGAUUUUCCCACCACAGUGUUGUGAUAAGACUCGAAGAAACCCUGCCCUGCACGGAAAAAUGUUCCUUAUCACGUUGUAUAUUAGGGUGGGAAGGAAUAUGGUCCCCUUUUUGCAAUUGCUACUGUGUAUACACACACGUGCACACACACACACUGUAUAUUCAGACCUAAUGUACACACACAACCAUAACUCAUUUGUCCAAGUGAUAUUUCAGAUGUCUCUGUGGGUGUCACACACCAAAUGCAGUUUUCCACUUCCCAGAGAAUUUUGAAUGGAGGGCAACUUUUCAGACUGAUGAACUAGGCACCGGGAAGAAGAGUUUGAAGUGAGAGGCAAGGAAAGAGAGAGCAUUAGGUCAAAAGAAGAAUUUCCCAGGAGGAACGGGAUGAAUGGCUGUCUUUGCAGGUGGGUGUGGAACACUGCUGUCUCAGUCUGCACUGUAGAAACCCAUGCACACAUCAACACACACACACACACACACACACACACACACACACACACACACACAUCCUCCCACAGGGGCGUGGUCUGGGAUGAGCAGGUCAAUAGUUUUGAGAGGGAGUUUGUUCCUUUUUUUUCUCUCAUUAUACUCUUGUUGUCAGUUAUUAAACAAACAAACAGAAAAAUUGUUUUGAAAAACCUUGCGUACGCCUUUUCUAUCAAGUGCUUUAAAAUAUAGACUAAAUACACACAUCCUGCCAGUUUUUCUUACAGUGACCGUACCCUUACCUGCCAUUUAAUAUUAGCCUCGUAUUUUUCUCACGUAUAUUUACCUGUGACUUGUAUUUGUUAUUUAAACAGGAAAAAAAUUUCAAAAAAAGAAAACUUAACUGUAGCGCUUCAUUAUACUAUUAUAUUAUUAUUGUGACAUUUUGGAAUACUGUGAAGUUUUAUCUCUUGCAUAUACUUUAUACAGAAGUAUUACGCCUUAAAAAUACGAAAAUAAAUUUUACAAGGUUUCUGUUUUGUGUGGAAGAGUAAUUGAUGUUGCUAAGAAUGAUGUUUGUUUUUUGGGGUUUUUGUUGUUUUUUUUUUAAAUGUUACCAGCACUUUUUUUGUAAGUUUCACUUUCUGAGGUAUUGUACAAGUUCACACUGUUUGUGAAGUUUGAAUAUGAAGGAAUAAUUAAAAAAAAACAAAAAAACAAAAA